CGACCACCCAAGGUCGAGAUGUCUGCUGCCGCUUCGAGCCCGAGGCCUUCCUCCAGAUGGGACUUCGAAUGUAACUUCGAGGUUGAUUAUGGGUUUGAGGAACAGGCAUCCAUUGUCUAUAAAACAUUAGCCGCCGUUGACAAGGAGUUACAACCUGACAAGGUCAAGAGAGAGGACUGUUUCUGACGGCAAGAUUUUCGUGUUAGUGUAUUUCCAUUCUGAAAUUUGUAACAGCUAUCUCUGCAUCGCUGCAUGAUGUUUUAAUAUUGAACUCUGAAUGAUUUAGACACUUUGAAGCGGUAGAGGCCCAGUUUCUGCGAGCAUCGUUUGGCGCAUUUGUAGAUCUUAUGGUGCUCAUGACCAAGCUUGUCGAGGAAUAUGGCGUGGCCGACUCUUCAUGAACAACCAUGUGAUGCAGAACUCGCCAGCAUUCAGAUUCUAUUUCUGUGAUUUGCUCUGUAAGGCAUAACGUACGACGAAUGCUGAUACCAAAAGCCUAUGACGCUGAAGCCCUACUUGUAAUGCUGCAUACUGAUAGAUAUGAAGAUCCAACAUUAUACUGUAAAAAGCAUAUGCAAAGUUCACCUGAAAUCCAUGUAGCAUAAUGCAAAACCAUAACCAUGCACUUGCACAGACUCAUGCAAAUAUAUGUGCUGUGAAAUUUAU